rnacentral:rRNA from 1 species
UACGUAGGGCGCGAGCGUUGUCCGGAAUUAUUGGGCGUAAAGAGCUCGUAGGCGGCCUGUCGCGUCCGCUGUGAAAUCCCGGGGCUUAACCCCGGGCCUGCAGUGGAUACGGGCAGGCUGGAGGCAGGAAGGGGAGAACGGAAUUCCCGGUGUAGCGGUGAAAUGAGCAGAUAUCGGGAGGAACACCGGUGGCGAAGGCGGCACUCUGGGCCGAUACUGACACUGAGGAGCGAAAGCGUGGGGAGCAAACAGG